rnacentral:lncRNA from 1 species
GUCACAAUGAAAAUAGGAAUAUAAGAGUCCUCAAGGCUGUCAGGAAAAUUGUGAGACAAAACAUGCAGAGAUCCCAUGAGAGGAUUCCAGUGACUGAGAUUCUGCCCCUGGAGCCCUUCGGUUUUCUCUGUGUUUUGGUUUCAUCGAAGUCAGCGCAGCAAGGCAGUGGAGCUGCAGGAGAGAAUGCUGUGUGCCAUCGGUGUGUCCACACAGUCAACACAGUUACUGCCUGCGUCUGGAUCCAGAACUUCGCUAUCAUUAGGACAGAUGCAAAAUACAAAGCACACGUCUCUGGGGUCAAAUGCUGGAUGGGACUUUAGGAGAGUCUACAGGUGGGAAACGUAGCAGGAAACUUUGGACAUGAGAUGCUCCCUGUAGCCCAGGAAAUGAUCUGAGGGACUCAUUGUCCCCUUCCCCUCCCACCUCUACCUAUCUAAUCCCGCAGCAAGACCUGACACUCUCACCACCACUGUGACCCACGCUGAUCUUUCCCUUAUAUGAGCAUCAGCAGAGUUUUAUACUGUGUACCAAAC